rnacentral:rRNA from 1 species
CCUACGGGUGGCAGCAGUGAGGAAUAUUGGUCAAUGGUCGGGAGCCUGAACCAGCCAAGCCGCGUGAGGGAUGAAGGUACAGAGUAUCGUAAACCUCUUUUGUCAGGGAACAAAGGCGGGGACGUGUCCCCGUAUGAGUGUACCUGACGAAAAAGCAUCGGCUAACUCCGUGCCAGCAGCCGCGGUAAUACGGAGGAUGCGAGCGUUAUCCGGAUUUAUUGAGUUUAAAGGGUGCGCAGGCGGGCGGUUAAGUCAGCGGUCAAAGCCCGGGGCUCAACCCCGGCCCGCCGUUGAAACUGGCAGUCUCGAGUGGGAGAGAAGUAUGCGGAAUGCGCGGUGUAGCGGUGAAAUGCAUAGAUAGCGCGCAGAACUCCGAUUGCGAAGGCAGCAUGCCGGCUCCAAACUGACGCUGAGGCACGAAAGCGUGGGUAUCGAACAGGAUUAGAUACCCUGGUAGUC